UGUAACAGCAACUCCAUUUGGAUGGCACUGGCUUCCAGUGGAGCUGCUGUUACUUU
rnacentral:pre_miRNA from 1 species